GGCUCAUUUGGUAGAGCAUGGUGUUUGCAUGGUGUUUACAAUGCCAGGGUUGUGGGUUCAAUUCCCAUGGGGGCCA
rnacentral:tRNA from 1 species